rnacentral:rRNA from 1 species
CAAGUCGAGCGGGGAAAGGUAGCUUGCUACUGGACCUAGCGGCGGACGGGUGAGUAAUGCUUAGGAAUCUGCCUAUUAGUGGGGGACAACAUUCCGAAAGGAAUGCUAAUACCGCAUACGUCCUACGGGAGAAAGCAGGGGACCUUCGGGCCUUGCGCUAAUAGAUGAGCCUAAGUCGGAUUAGCUAGUUGGUGGGGUAAAGGCCUACCAAGGCGACGAUCUGUAGCGGGUCUGAGAGGAUGAUCCGCCACACUGGGACUGAGACACGGCCCAGACUCCUACGGGAGGCAGCAGUGGGGAAUAUUGGACAAUGGGGGGAACCCUGAUCCAGCCAUGCCGCGUGUGUGAAGAAGGCCUUAUGGUUGUAAAGCACUUUAAGCGAGGAGGAGGCUACUAGUAUUAAUACUACUGGAUAGUGGACGUUACUCGCAGAAUA